UACUUUAGUUACUGACGGUGUCUCUCACGAGGUGGAUAAAAUCGCAGGGCCAACAUUACUUUUUCAUUUUAUUAUAAACGCGCGAGUGUACGUGUCUUGUUAAUUUUAUAUUCAUUUUAACUUAGUUCAAAAUUCAAUCUUGGAACCUGUGCGUUUCUUUAUGCACAAACGACCUUCUCAAGUCGUAUUAACGAAGAAGAAACGACCAGAAUGAAUCCCCGAGCGAGAGACACCGUCACCUCGACGAGAGCGACCAACUCGACGACGAACACGACGACGAAUUUAACGACGACCGGGGUGCGCUUGGCGAACUCGACGAGGAAACGUCGCCAGCAGCCACAGCAGCAACAGGUCCACCGUGGUCGAGCUGAGGACGCCUCGAAAUCGCACCCCGAGAUCAAGCCGCCGCCGGUGAAGGCCCGGCGGCGAACAAGCAAAGCAGUCACCGAGAGCACCGAGCGCACGUCCAGCAAGAGUCGCCUCGGUGACUUCUUAUCUACCUUGGCUUCUCGCAUUCGCGGACCCAAGCAUUCCAGUGUCAUGGAUGACCGUGAGAAAUCGAAGAAUUGGCAAGUCGUCGACGCGACACUGCAGCCGUCGAUGAAACCAGAUGAGGACGAAGUGGCAGAAGACCACGAGGCUGCAGGCAGCAAAAGGCGAAAAUUGGAGCCCAACGAGUGUAGUAUCGUGCAUCAUCAGAGCGUUGGCGUGGCCCUGAAAAAUGUGGGCUUUAGGUCAGUCGAGCGGCAUCGCGAUGGAGAAGCCACCACCACCGAGGGCGGCGAUCCAAGCGUCGAAGCAACAAAGGAUGUGCUCGAAGAACAGCCAAGUGUCGAAGUGGCGGAAGGUGCGGCUGUGCACAGUGAAAGUAAUACUCGGGAAGAGUGCAAUGAGUCGGGUGGAUUGGAAAAUGUUGGGGAGAAUGGCGCGUCGAUAUCCGGUGAAAAGGGGGAGCUGAGCGAAGAACCGAGCAAGUCGAAUGCGAGCGUGGAACGCAGUGUCUCGAAUCUGACGGUGAAUCUGGAGUACCGAGGAGUCGCGGAGUUGAACAGGAAUAGCGGCCGGAAAGCGGAAGUCAGCGCGAGCAGCGGCCGCGAAAGGGAUCGCGUCGAGUCGGAGGUCGGUAACUGCAGCAGCCGAUACAGCUUGCGCUCGAUGAUGAAGUCCGCGCGGCGCGACGACGACGCCACUCGGCUGCGCAAAACCAUUCAUUGGCUGGAGGAGGGCGGCCGCCGGCUGCGGCAGGAGCUGACCGAGGCUAGGUCGCAGAUCUACGAGGAGCGCAAAGCCGCCAAGUUGGCUCGACGCGAGCUCGAGGCUGCCGUCAAAGAGGCGCGCAACGCCGAGGCGGCCAAAUACGCUAGCGUCGUGGUCGAGCUCAAGGCUAGGUUGGCUCAGUCGCCAUCACCUUCUGUAAACGAUUGUCCAUCAAGUUCGUCAAAGACUGACAUUUUAAAAGACGAAAAUCACAGGCGAGAGGUGGCUGCACUGAAAAAACGUCUUGCCGAAGCCGAAUCAACUAUUCAAAAGCUUAAAACUAAUUCCCUGGAUCGCAGUCGCGUCAGAAAGAAAACCAAAGAGGAUGAAAGCGUCAAAGCUGGCAAUGCAGAAUUGCGAAAGCUUGCAAUCGAAGUUCAAAACUUACGUACAGCUAAUAAAAAGCUCGAAGAGAAGUUACACGUUGCCGAGGAAUCUGCAAGGGCACGAGCUGCAGAGCUGCGGGCGCAACACGAAACUCACGAAGCGGAAUCGGCUGGCAUCCAGAGGGCUCUCCGUAGCGAUACAAUUAAAUUAAUCGACGAAAUACAGAGUAAGAAUCGGGAAAUUGAGAAAUUGGAAAGGCUGCUGAGCGAGCACACUCAAAUUAAUGAAAAGCUACGCGCCAAGGAAGACGAAACGAUGCGCAAGUUGCGGGAGAAUCAGAGGAAUCAGCAACUUCGCUUAGCGACUAGAAUCGAGGAAAAGAUCCGCCAUGAGAAGCACGUGGUGGAGUUUUGCAAGGGGGACAGCGUGGAGGUCGACGAUGAGAUGGCAGCACCCGAUCUUGGCCAACUGCGAGAACUCGCGAUGGAGCAACAGCGGGUAAUCGAAGUUCUGAGGCAAGCUGUAAAGGAAAAAGACCGUAAACUGGAGCAACUGACAAACAAGCGACGCAAGGAGGAAUUUUACAAGCAAUGGCUGGAGCUGGAGCCAGUUGCCGAAGUGGACGACGAGGACGAGCAGCAGUUGGAGGACGGUGGCGACAGUGUUCUGUCCUCGGCGCCGUCCUCGCUCUCGCCACAGCCCAGCGGCCACAACGGUCAGUUUGUGGCCAGCGGACCCACGCGGGAGGCCUACGAGAGUCUCCUUAUGGAAGUGGGGGAGCUGCAAGCCAAGCUAUCGGAGGAGCGGCAUGAGCUCGCUCUGGCCAGGGAUCAAGUGCUCGAAUUGGAGAAAGCUCUGCUGCAAGAGACCAGAGGCAAUCAAACGUACAAGCGAGCGUUCAGCGAGAAAUUGCGCGUAGCCGAGGAGCGCGAGGUCGCCCUCGCGGCCGAAUUAUCCGAGCUGCGCGAGCAAAACGAAGUGCUGGAGUUCAGGGUGCUCGAGCUAGAAGAGUCGCCCAAUCUGAGCAACACGCCUGAUCCGGCAGACAGUGGCAUCGUCUCGCCGGAACCCAUACAUCUCUACAAGGAACAGGCAGCGAGCAAGCACAGAGACCGCGCGAUAGCAACGGUCAUCCCGUACAGCUCCACUUACAACAGCCAGCCAGUGCUGGCAACGGACGCGCAAAAAGGGCCGCUGUCGCUGCAAGAGAGCGGCAUCUUCGACGACGAGAACGAGGAGAACGCCGACGAGACCGAGGAGCGCGCGAGCAGCGGCGACGCCAGCAGCACCAGCGGCACCAGCAGCACUGGCGAGGCUCGCCCGUGCAAGCCGCCGGGCCAAGCCACCCCGAGCGAGGCGCCGGCCGGCGAGUUGCUGCAGGAGGUGCAGCGACUGCAGGAGCUCCGGGCCCGCAUCCAGGAGCGCGCGGCCAAAGUGCCACCGGCGCCGGCGGCGACGCCACCGAGCGAGCGCCGGGCCAAGGCCGAGGGCUGCGAGGGCUGCCGCGCCGCGCACGAGCGCAUCCGCGAGCUGGAGGAGCGGCUGUCCCGGCGCGAGGCCGAGCGCGAGCUGUCCAAGCAGCGCGAGGAAGAGCUGCUCGACGAGAACUACCGCCUGGCCGAGAACACCUACUGGCUGCAGUCGGAGCUGGAGCGCGCGCUCGCGGGUCGCGAGGCCAAGGGCGCGAGCGACGCCGAGGCGCCGGCCCAGGGCACGGCGCCGCGGGACCGCCCCUGCCCGGACUGCGUCGAGCUCUGGCAGAGCUGCGACGCGAAGCUGCGCAGCCUGGCUAGCACCGAGUCCCGACUGCGCCAGCAGGUCGCCAGCCUGGAGCAGCGGGAGGCGGCCUUCUUCGAGACCCUGCGCCAGGCGGACGCCACCUGGGCCAAGCUCGAGGCGGAUUACGAGAGCAGGCAGCGCGAAGUGUCCGAGCGCUUGGCGGCCCAGCUCGAGCUCAACCGAGCGCUCUUCGAGCACCUCACCGAGCUCAACAAGGCCGAAUACUUGUCGUCCCAGGAACUCGACGUCGCAACCGCCAAACCCGCCGCCGACGCUGCCGCCGACGCCACCGCCGACGCCGCUGCCGACGCCGCCGCCAAGCCGUGCGAACGUUGCAAUUGUGCCUCGCUCGCCAGCCGCUCGAGCAGCCUCGUCGAGAGCGACUCGGCCGCCUCCCGGCUGUCCACCAUCUCGCGGACCAGCAUUAGUAUGCAAUCCAUUGCUGUCGGCUGCGACCAAGUCGACACAGACAAAUGUUGCGGUAUGCCAGUCGAGCCACCGACGGAAGUGGCUACCGAGGCUAAGGAGGAAGAAAAAGAAGAGAGAACAGGUGCCUUAAAAAUUAAAGCUUCCGAGGGUGAGCAGCCCGAGCUACACCAGCCAGAAUCUCACGUUUAUAUAGACGAAUCGUCUGGCGAGAAAAAGCAAAUAAUCUACUUCCGAUGGAGGUGAAGUUCCUUCCCACUGAAAAAUUAAAAAAUUAAGAGAUAAAAAUAUAGACACAAUGGCGUCAGGUUUCCAUACUCUAAGAUCGCAUUUCCUACGAAUCACAAGAAGAAACUGAUAUUUUAAAGCUUCAAAUGAGGACAAAAUGGCUGGCGCUGCUUGAUAAAAUCAAGUAACGACCAGAAAUGGUGCGUCCUGCCGUCAAGUUCCCACGAUUGCAAGAACGAGCUCAAAACGACAAGUUUCUAUCUUUGAACAUCGUCAUGAAGUACACGAAGAUUGUACAUAUUGUCCAAACUAUCGUUUAUUUAUGUAUUAUCGAUUGUCUUCCGUGUUUCAUUCAACAAGAUAAAUGGUUUGAUAUUAGAUUUUACUUUCACAGGAAAUGCGCAUUACUCCAUAUUGUAGCACCCUGGAAAAUUGAAAAUGAAUUUUUCCACUAGAAGGAGUAAUUUACUGUUCUCUUAUAUAAAAAUGCAAUCGUCUAAAUUAAGUUUGCAUAUUAUUUCAAUCAAAUUUUGAUGGAGACUGUUAAGAUUGUACAAAUUAUGGAAACCUGAAAAUUUUUUUUUGCGAGCUGUGAUUCUUUAUGUCAACAAUCAUAAGUAUAAUAUGAUUACUUUAUUAUUGAUCAGUUCUUACCGAGAGUUUCAAUAUUAAAAAUGACGAAUUUUUAUCUGAUGAUGCGUUAUUAUUAUUUUUAUAGCGUAAUUUCACAAAUUUAUCAAAAAUUAAAUUGAAAAAUACCCUGAUUUAAACAAUUGUUUUCAUCGUUUAUUUUAAGAAUUAAUAACUAUUAGAUAUUUAUCGUGUAUCUAUGUUUUAACUAUGAUUCAUAUAGACCUACAAUUAUUUAUAUAACAAUGUUUAAUACGCUCACUGCUUAUCGAAUUUACGUUUUUAUAAGAUACAACCGUUUAUCCUAGAUAUAUUCGGUCAUAUUUGUUGGAAAAGAAUGAAAGAAUACAGUUUACAUUAGAUAUACUUUCAACACUGAAAAUAGUCAAAAAUUCUUCAGUUACUUACAAAUUACAAAUGAGUCUCAGUUAAAGAAAUAUCUUUUUCACUUGGUUAGCGGUGUUAAGAAAUUAAAAGUUCACAAAUGUUUAUGUGUAAUAAAUUAUUGCUUCAAAAACAAUCAUUCUUCCAUGACAAUUUGUUACAGCCUGUAAUAAAUUGAGCGAUAUUUGUCUAAAAGGUAUAUGAAUUAUAGAUAAAACGCUUCCGAUUCCAUUCGUAAUAGAUUACAACGUACUGUUACUACGUUGUAAUGAAGAAAAUAUUUUUUUCCGCCCAUUCACGCGAAGUAGCGUAUUUGAGGGUCUUACCUUGUAAGGAGUAUUUGCUAUGAUACUGCCGUACGAUAAAAAAUACUAAGUUGAACCCAUAAAAUCGAUAUAAAAUAUUAUGUAAUGUAUCUAGUCGAUAUACUUUGAUUGAGCAAUUAAGUACGAUGUAGCUUUGGGAUACCCUUUGACAGUCUUGUGUUUGACUUUAAAAGUCAUUCAUGGGUAAUCUCAAUGCGCAAAAAUAAUGAUGAGUAUUGAUGAAAGUUGUAGUUUACCAUUACUCUUUCAAUCUGCCUUUUUAAAUGUCUGUAAAAAGUUGUAUUUCAAGCUUACAUUAUAAGUACGUCAGGAACUAUAAACUUAAUUAAAAGGGCGUCGCUUCGUCGAGGUAAUAACGAAUUAUUUACAUUCUUUGCGUAUCUUGUAAUCUAUUCAAUAAAAUAUCUUACA